AUACGCUGCGAAAAGCCGUGGGGAGCUGCGAAUAAGCUUUGAUCCAUGGAUCUCCGAAUGGGGCAACCCACCUUAAAUGCUUGGAAAAUUUAAGACGAUCUUGUGAUCGUCUUAUGUUUCCAAGCAUUGUGAUAAGGUAUCUGCACCUGAAUAAAAUAGGGUGUAAGAAGCGAACGCAGGGAACUGAAACAUCUAAGUACCUGCAGGAAAGGACAUCAACCGAGACUCCGCAAGUAGUGGCGAGCGAACGCGGACCAGGCCAGUGGCAAUUGAAGUUAAAGUGGAACAAGCUGGAAAGCUUGGCCGUAGUGGGUGACAGCCCCGUACGCGUAGAUACUUUGAUUGUCCUAGAGUAGGGCGGGGCACGUGAAACCCUGUCUGAACAUGGGGAGACCACUCUCCAAGCCUAAGUACUCGUGCAUGACCGAUAGC
rnacentral:rRNA from 5 species